rnacentral:rRNA from 1 species
UACGUAGGGGGCAAGCGUUGUCCGGAAUCAUUGGGCGUAAAGAGCGUGUAGGCGGUCCGGUCAGUCGGUUGUGAAAGUCAAGGGCUCAACCCUUGAAUGCCGGCCGAUACUGCCGGGCUAGAGUCCGGAAGAGGUGAGUGGAAUUCCUGGUGUAGCGGUGAAAUGCGCAGAUAUCAGGAGGAACACCGAUGGCGAAGGCAGCUCACUGGGACGGUACUGACGCUGAGGCGCGACAGCGUGGGGAGCAAACAGG